CCUACGGGAGGCAGCAGUGGGGAAUAUUGCACAAUGGGCGAAAGCCUGAUGCAGCAACGCCGCGUGAAGGAAGAAGGGUUUCGGCUCGUAAACUUCUAUCAACAAGGACGAAAGAAAUGACGGUACCUGAAUAAGAAGCACCGGCUAACUAAGUGCCAUCAGCCGCGGUAAUACGUAGGGGUCAAGCGAUAUACGGAAUUACUGGGUUUAAAGGGUGAGGUGGCGGGAAUGUAAGCAAGAUGUGAAAGCCAUGGGCUUAACCCGAGGAUUGCAUUUGAAACUAGCAAGCUAGAGUACAGGAGAGGAAAGCGGAAUUCCUAGUGUAGCGGUGAAAUGCGUAGAUAUUAGGAAGAACACCAGUGGCGAAGGCGGCUUUCUGGACUGAAACUGACGCUGAGGCACGAAAGCGUGGGGAGCGAACAGGAUUAGAUACCCCUGUAGUC
rnacentral:rRNA from 1 species